UACGUAGGGGGCAAGCGUUGUCCGGAUUUAUUGGGCGUAAAGAGCGUGUAGGCGGUUUGGUAGGUCCGCUGUGAAAACUCGAGGCUCAACCUCGAGACGCCGGUGGAAACCAUCAGGCUAGAGUCCGGAAGAGGAGAGUGGAAUUCCUGGUGUAGCGGUGAAAUGCGCAGAUAUCAGGAAGGACACCCGUGGCUAAGGCGGCUCUCUAGUACGGUACUGACGCUGAGACGCGAAAGCGUGGGGAGCGAACAGG
rnacentral:rRNA from 1 species